UACGUAGGGUGCGAGCGUUGUCCGGAAUUAUUGGGCGUAAAGGGCUCGUAGGCGGUUUGUCGCGUCGGGAGUGAAAUCAUCUGGCUUAACUGGGUGCUUGCUUUCGAUACGGGCAGACUAGAGGUAUGCAGGGGAGAACGGAAUUCCUGGUGUAGCGGUGAAAUGCGCAGAUAUCAGGAGGAACACCGGUGGCGAAGGCGGCUACCUGGACAGAAACUGACGCUGAGGCGCGAAAGCUAGGGGAGCAAACAGG
rnacentral:rRNA from 1 species